UAGGAAUUGAUGGAACAGCUCACA
rnacentral:miRNA from 1 species